GCCAGGCAUGGUGGUGCAUGCCUGUAAUCCCAGCUACUGGGGGGCUGAGGCAGGAGGAUCGCUUGAACCUGGGAGGUGGAGGUUGCAGUGAGCCGAGAUCAUGCUACUGCACUCCAGCCUGGGCAACAAAGUGAGAUUCCGUCUCAA
rnacentral:SRP_RNA from 2 species